AGAGUUUGAUCAUGGCUCAGGAUGAACGCUAGCUACAGGCUUAACACAUGCAAGUCGGAGGGGAGACGACAUCGAAAGCUUGCUUUUGAGUGGGCGUCGACCGGCGCACGGGUGAGUAACGCGUAUCCAACCUGCCCACCACGUUGGGGAUAACCUUGCGAAAGUAAGACUAAUACCCAAUGAUAUCUCUAGAAGACAUCUGAAAGAGAUUAAAGAUUUAUCGGUGAUGGAUGGGGAUGCGUCUGAUUAGCUUGUUGGCGGGGUAACGGCCCACCAAGGCAACGAUCAGUAGGGGUUCUGAGAGGAAGGUCCCCCACAUUGGAACUGAGACACGGUCCAAACUCCUACGGGAGGCAGCA
rnacentral:rRNA from 1 species